rnacentral:tRNA from 1 species
GAUUGUUUAGUAUAAACCAUUACUCCAGACUGUAAAUCUGAAGAUGACAUUGUCAACAAUCA